rnacentral:rRNA from 1 species
UGGGGAAUAUUGGGCAAUGGGGGAAACCCUGACCCAGCAACGCCGCGUAAAGGAAGAAGGUCUUCGGAUUGUAAACUUUUGUCCCAUGGGAAGAAAAAAAUGACGGUACCAUGGGAGGAAGCCCCGGCUAACUACGUGCCAGCAGCCGCGGUAAUACGUAGGGGGCGAGCGUUGUCCGGAAUUACUGGGCGUAAAGGGUGCGCAGGCGGCUUGUCAAGUCAUGUGUGAAAUACCCAGGCUUAACUUGGGGGGUGCACAUGAAACUGGCGAGCUUGAGUGCAGGAGAGGGGAGCGGAAUUCCUAGUGUAGCGGUGAAAUGCGUAGAUAUUAGGAGGAACACCAGUGGCGAAGGCGGCUCUCUGGACUGCAACUGACGCUGAGGCACGAAAGCGUGGGGAGCAAACAGG